rnacentral:rRNA from 1 species
GGACGAACGCUGGCGGCGUGCUUAACACAUGCAAGUCGAACGGGGUGUUUAUUUCGGUAAACACCAAGUGGCGAACGGGUGAGUAACGCGUAAGCAAUCUACCUUCAAGAUGGGGGAUAACACUUAGAAAUAGGUGCUAAUACCGCAUAAGCGCACGGUGUCGCAUGACACAGUGUGAAAAACUCCGGUGGUAUAAGAUGGACCCGCGUCUGAUUAGCCAGUUGGCAGGGUAACGGCCUACCAAAGCGACGAUCAGUAGCCGGCCUGAGAGGGUGAACGGCCACAUUGGGACUGAGACACGGCCCAAACUCCUACGGGAGGCAGCAGUGGGGAAUAUUGCACAAUGGGGGAAACCCUGAUGCAGCGACGCCGCGUGAGUGAAGAAGUAUUUCGGUAUGUAAAGCUCUAUCAGCAGGGAAGAAGAAAUGACGGUACCUGACUAAGAAGCCCCGGCUAACUACGUG